GACAAUAUUGGAAUGAGAAAGGAACGAAAACAGACAAAUCUGGCCUCGAUACUGAGCCAGAGGUCAGAGAGCUAAGGUCACCUCAUUUGAGGGUUAAGUAGGAGCUGGGAGAAUGAAACCAGCCCAAGUCAGAUACAGAAGACAGAUUUGUUCAAGAAACACUGGGUAUGGAACUCAAGGAAAAUGAAGGAACCAGCAGCACUUGCCAGGCUGAAGCAGAGAAGCCAUAAAUAUGACAUUGGCACCAGCCAGAUCAGAGCAUUCCACCACCCGAAGUUUUAUCUGGUUGUACAGAAAUGAGCCAUACAGGGGAAGAGACC